GACGAACCGUGCGAACGUUGUUCGGAAUCACUGGGCUUAAAGGGCGCGUAGGCGGUUGAUCAAGUCUGGGGUGAAAUCUUUCGGCUUAACCGGAAAAGUGCCUUGGAUACUGGUCAGCUGGAGGGAGGUAGGGGCAGUUGGAACUUCCAGUGGAGCGGUGAAAUGCGUUGAUAUUGGAAGGAACGCCGGUGGCGAAAGCGGCGAUCUGGGUAGAUACUGACGCUGAGGUGCGAAAGCGUGGGGAGCAAACAGG
rnacentral:rRNA from 1 species